GACGAACGCUGGCGGCGUGCCUAAUACAUGCAAGUCGAACGCAGUGGGGACGGGUGAGUAACACGUGGGUAACCUCCCAUCAGAGGGGAUAACACUUGGAAACAGGUGCUAAACCGAUACUGAUGGAUGGACCCGCGGUGCAUUAGCUAGUUGGUGAGGUAAAGGCCCACCACGGCCACGAUGCAUAGCCGACCUGAGAGGGUGAUGGGCCACACUGGGACGGAGACACGGCCCAGACUCCUACGGGAGGCAGAAGUAGGGAAUCGUCGGCAAUGGACGAAAGUCUGACGGAGAAACGCCGCGUGAGUGAAGAAGGUUUUCGGAUCGUAAAACUCUGUUGUUAGAGAAGCGGUAUCUAACCAGAAAGCCACGGCUAACUACGGGCCAGCAGCCGCGGUAAUUC
rnacentral:rRNA from 1 species